CGGAGGAUCCAAGCGUUAUCCGGAUUCAUUGGGUUAAAGGGUGCGUAGCGGAAUGAUAAGUCAGUGGUGAAAUCUCGGAGCUUAACUCCGAAACUGCCAUUGAUACUGUCAAUCUUGAGUACAUUUGAUGAGGGCGGAAUGUGUCAUGUAGCGGUGAAAUGCUUAGAUAUGACACAGAACACCGAUUGCGAAGGCAGCUCUCAAAACUGUAACUGACGCUGAGGCACGAAAGCGUGGGUAUCAAACAGGAUUAGAUACCCUGGUAGUCCACGCUGUAAACUAUGAUUACUCGAUGUUUGCGAUAUACUGUAAGCGUCUAAGCGAAAGCGAUAAGUAAUCCACCUGGGGAGUACGCUCGCAAGAGUG
rnacentral:rRNA from 1 species